rnacentral:rRNA from 1 species
GACGAACGCUGGCGGCGUGCUUAUCACAUGCAAGUCGAACGGAAAGGCCCUGCUUUUGUGGGGUGCUCGAGUGGCGAACGGGUGAGUAACACGUGAGUAACCUGCCCUUGACUUUGGGAUAACUUCAGGAAACUGGGGCUAAUACCGGAUAGGAGCUCCUGCUGCAUGGUGGGGGUUGGAAAGUUUCGGCGGUUGGGGAUGGACUCGCGGCUUAUCAGCUUGUUGGUGGGGUAGUGGCUUACCAAGGCUUUGACGGGUAGCCGGCCUGAGAGGGUGACCGGCCACAUUGGGACUGAGAUACGGCCCAGGCUCCUACGGGAGGCAGCAGUGGGGAAUAUUGCACAAUGGGCGGAAGCCUGAUGCAGCAACGCCGCGUGCGGGAUGACGGCCUUCGGGUUGUAAACCGCUUUCGCCUGUGACGAAGCGUGAGUGACGGUAAUGGGUAAAGAAGCACCGGCUAACUACGUG